rnacentral:lncRNA from 1 species
AUUUCUCCAUUUUGUGAGACUGCUGCACAGGUUCCAUAAUUUCUAUUAAUUGAAAUUGAUGUUUCCGAUGCAAUGUAACCAUCCUUUGAAAUGCUUGCAUUGUAUUUACUGAUCUCACAUUCCAGAUAAUGGAAUCCAUUAGAUGUUUUUGUGUUUGGAAAGAGUGCUCCUUGUUUUUACUCUCUUGGCCUGUGCAUUUAAAAUCUCUUUUGAUUGUUUCUUUUUUUCUUUUGCUGGAAAUUUCACAGAUUCAAUAUACCUUGGAGACAGAUCCCCUUGCUUGGAAACUUUUAGGAAAAUUUGAGCAGUGGUUUCUUCCUCCAAAUCUACGUCUCUUAUUUCCGCGUGGGUCGCGGUGUCUUGUGUUUCUACUGCUACUUCCUUUAUUGUGUUUAGAUUUGCAUCCCU